CCUCCUUUCUUCCGCCGUUUUUGCUAUUGCCCCCUGGGGGGCCCCCUGAUGCAGCGACGCCGCGUGGGUGAAGAAGCGCCUCGGCGCGUACAGCCCUGUCAGCAGGGAAGAAAAUGACGGUACCUGAAGAAGAAGCCCCGGCUAACUACGUGCCAGCAGCCGCGGUAAUCCGUAGGGGGCAAGCGUGAUCCGGAUUUACUGGGUGUAAAGGGGGCGCAGCCGGCGAUGCAAGCCAGGAGUGAAAGCCCGGGGCCCAACCCCGGGACUGCUCUUGGAACUGCGUGGCUGGAGUGCAGGAGGGGCAGGCGGAAUUCCUGGUGUAGCGGGGAAAUGCGUAGAUAUCAGGAGGAACACCGGUGGCGAAGGCGGCCUGCUGGACUGCAACUGACGUUGAGGCCCGAAAGCGUGGGGAGCAAACAGGAUUAGAUACCCUUGUAGUC
rnacentral:rRNA from 1 species